rnacentral:rRNA from 1 species
UACGAGGGGGCGAGCGUUGUUCGGAAUUAUUGGGCGUAAAGGGUGCGUAGGCGGUUUGGUAAGUCUUAUGUGAAAUCUAUGGGCUCAACUCAUAGACUGCAUGAGAAACUGCCGGGCUUGAGUAUGGGAGAGGUGAGUGGAAUUCCUGGUGUAGCGGUGAAAUGCGUAGAUAUCAGGAGGAACACCUGUGGCGAAGGCAGCUCGCUGGGACGUUACUGACACUGAGGCGCGAAAGCGUGGGGAGCGAACAGG